ensembl:snoRNA
UGCCUCUAAGUGUUACCCGCUCAUGUCUGGUUCAUGGAUGUGGUGUCAGAAGAGGCAUACAGUAAGUGUAUAGGUGGUGUUCAGAGAGGGUUUCCCCAUACUCUACCUGGUGUCCACCUCAUACAUACACAC